ensembl:piRNA 21ur-3407 ncRNA
UUCAUCAAGCUAAAAUCAGAA